GACGAACGCUGGCGGCGUGCUUAACACAUGCAAGUCGAACGGAGUGGCGAACGGGUGAGUCACACGUGGGUGACCUGCCCUGCACUUCGGGAUAAGCCUGGGCAACUGGGUCUAAUACCGGAUAGUGUGGGAUGGGCCCGCGGCCUAUCAGCUUGUUGGUGGGGUAAUGGCCUACCAAGGCGGCGACGGGUAGCCGGCCUGCGAGGGUGGACGGCCACAUUGGGACUGAGAAACGGACCAGAGUCCUACGGGAGGCAGCAGUGGGGAAUAGUGCAAAAUGGGCGGAAGCCUGAAGCAGCGACGCCGGUUGGGGGAGGACGGCCUUCUGGGUGGAAACGCCUUUAACCAUCGACGCGGUAGAUGGAGAAGAAGCACCGGCUAACUACGUGCCAGCAGCCGCGGUAAUUC
rnacentral:rRNA from 1 species